UACCAGCACCCCGAGUGGUCGGGACGUUUUUAUUGGGCCUAAAGCAUCCGUAGCCGGUUCUACAAGUCUUCCGUUAAAUCCAGCUGCUUAACAGAUGGGCUGCGGAAGAUACUAUGGAGCUAGGAGGCGGGAGAGGCAAGCGGUACUCGAUGGGUAGGGGUAAAAUCCGUUGAUCCAUUGAAGACCACCAGUGGCGAAGGCGGCUUGCCAGAACGCGCUCGACGGUGAGGGAUGAAAGCUGGGGGAGCAAACCGGG
rnacentral:rRNA from 1 species